UCGAUCGCACCUGCGGUGACGAUGAAUUUCUCGCCGGCAAUGACCUCGGUGCAGGAUCCAAUGACCAUGUUGGGAUCCACGCCGUCCAUGAUGCCCGGGUUUCCUGCCUUGCCGAUUCCGACAAUGAUGCCCUCCCGGAUCCCGAUGUCGGCCUUGACGAUGCCCCACCAAUCGACGAUGAGCGCAUUGAUGAUGACGACGUCGAGCGUCUGCGAGUCGGCCCGUCCCGAGGCCUGUCCCAUGCCGU
rnacentral:sRNA from 1 species